AUCCAGCUGACGAGUUCCAAAUAGGAUGAAAUGCGCGUUAUACUGGAU
rfam:Schistosoma haematobium scaffold4119_8, whole genome shotgun sequence.